AUGGUGGGCUGGAUGGUGGGCUGGAUGGUGGGCUGGCUGGAGGGUGGAUGGUGGGCUGAAUGGAGGGCUGGAUGGUGGGCUGGAUGGUGGGUUGGCUGGAGGGCUGGAUGGAGGGCUGGAUGGAGGGCUGGAUGGCAGGAUGGUGGGCUGGAUGGUGGGCUGGCUGGCUGGAUGGAGGGCUUGAUGGUGGGAUGGAUGGUGGGCUGGCUGGAUGGUGGGCUGGAUGGUGGGCUGGAUGGUGGGCUGGAUGGAGGGCUGGAUGGAGGGCUGGAUGGUGGGCUGGAUGGCUGGUGGGCUGGCUGGUGGGCUGGAUGGUGGGCUGGCUGGCUGGAUGGAUGGUGGGCUGGCUGGAUGGAGGGCUGGCUGGAUGGUGGGCUGGAUGGUGGGCUGGCUGGUGGGCUGGAUGGUGGGCUGGCUGGAUGGUGGGCUGGCUGGCUGGAUGGAGGGCUGGAUGGUGGGCUGGAUGGUGGGCUGGAUGGUGGGCUGGCUGGAGGAUUGGAUGGUGGGCUGGAUGGUGGGCUGGAUGGUGGGUUGGCUGGAGGGCUGGCUGGUGGGCUGGAUGGUGGGCUGGAUGGUGGGCUGGCUGGUGGGCUGGAUGGGGGGCUGGCUGGUGGGCUGGCUGGGGGGCUGGCUGGUGGGCUGGAUGGUGGGUUGGCUGGUGGGCUGGAAGGUGGGCUGGAUGGAGGGCUGGCUGGAGGGCUGGCUGGCUGGAUGGAGGGCUGGCUGGAUGGUGGGCUGGCUGGAUGGUGGGCUGGCUGGAUGGUGGGCUUGAUGGUGGGCUGGAUGGUGGGCUGGAUGGUGGGCUGGAUGGAGGGCUGGAUGGAGGGCUGGAUGGAGGGCUGGAUGGCUGGAUGGUGGGCAGGAUGGCUGGAUGGUGGGCUGGAUGGUGGGCUGGCUGGCUGGAUGGAUGGUGGGCUGGCUGGAUGGAGGGCUGGCUGGAUGGUGGGCUGGAUGGUGGGCUGGCUGGUGGGCUGGAUGGUGGGCUGGCUGGAUGGUGGGCUGGCUGGCUGGAUGGAUGGAGGGCUGGAUGGCUGGAUGGAGGGCUGGAUGGUGGGCUGGAUGGUGGGAUGGCUGGAUGGUGGGCUGGCUGGCUGGAUGGUGGGCUGGAUGGUGAGCUGGCUGGUGGGCUGGCUGGUUGAAUGGUGGGCUGGCUGGUGA
rnacentral:lncRNA from 1 species